UCCCCGGUGGCGCAGCGGUAGCGCAGUCGCCUGUUAAGCGAUUGGUCGUAGGUUCGAAUCCUACCCGGGGAGCCA
rnacentral:tRNA from 7 species